AACGAACGCUGGCGGCAUGCCUAACACAUGCAAGUCGAACGAGACCUUCGGGUCUAGUGGCGCACGGGUGCGUAACGCGUGGGAACCUGCCCUUAGGUUCGGAAUAACUCCCCGAAAGGGGUGCUAAUACCGGAUAAUGUCUUCGGGCCAAAGAUUUAUCGCCUUUGGAUGGGCCCGCGUUGGAUUAGCUAGUUGGUAGGGUAAAAGCCUACCAAGGCGACGAUCCAUAGCUGGUCUGAGAGGAUGAUCAGCCACACUGGGACUGAGACACGGCCCAGACUCCUACGGGAGGGAGCAGUGGGGAAUAUUGGACAAUGGGCGCAGGCCUGAUCCAGCCAUGCCGCGUGAGUGAUGAAGGCCUUAGGGUUGUAAAGCUCUUUUACCCGGGAUGAUAAUGACAGUACCGGGAGAAUAAGCACCGGCUAACUCCGUG
rnacentral:rRNA from 1 species